rnacentral:lncRNA from 1 species
AUGGGAGACUCCUCGAGCUUACAGGUGGCGGAGUCAAAGCCCCUUGUUGUUCAAGCAGAUGUCAUGCAGAGGGAGCUAGAGAGCUGUCUAAGAAGAGAGUACACCCCUGAAAAUUUACCUUUGCUUCUAUUGCAGUAUUAUACAGAGAGAAUUACCCAGCUGGCCCAGAGUAAAUAUUUACACAUGCUUAGAUGGAAGAGGUUUUGCCAGCACAGUAAGAUUAUGGAGCAACUUUAUCCUUUUUACAAGGUAAGAAACCUAGAAAUAGAAUCUGAUUCUAGGUUUGUGGGCUCUUUUUUAUAGUGAAACAAAAUGGUCAAUACAUUUGUCAGUGCAUAUUAUUAAAUAUAGUCAUUAUACCUGUACAUUAGAUCUCUAGACUUAUUCAACCUUCAUAACUGC